AACGAACGCUGGCGGCAUGCCUAACACAUGCAAGUCGAACGAGACCUUCGGGUCUAGUGGCGCACGGGUGCGUAACGCGUGGGAACCUGCCCUUAGGUUCGGAAUAACUCCCCGAAAGGGGUGCUAAUACCGGAUAAUGUCUUCGGACCAAAGAUUUAUCGCGUUUGGAUGGGCCCGCGUUGGAUUAGCUAGUUGGUAGGGUAAAAGCCUACCAAGGCGACGAUCCAUAGCUGGUCUGAGAGGAGGAUCAGCCACACUGGGACUGAGACACGGCCCAGACUCCUACGGGAGGCAGCAGUGGGGAAUAUUGGACAAGGGGCGAAAGCCUGAUCCAGCAAUGCCGCGUGAGUGAUGAAGGCCUUAGGGUUGUAAAGCUCUUUUACCCGGGAUGAUAAUGACAGUACCGGGAGAAUAAGCGCCGGCUAACUCCGUG
rnacentral:rRNA from 1 species